rnacentral:rRNA from 1 species
UACAGGGGGUGCAAGCGUUAAUCGGAAUUACUGGGCGUAAAGCGUGCGCAGGCGGUCCGCUAAGACAGAUGUGAAAUCCCCGGGCUUAACCUGGGAACUGCAUUUGUGACUGGCGGGCUAGAGUAUGGCAGAGGGGGGUAGAAUUCCACGUGUAGCAGUGAAAUGCGUAGAGAUGUGGAGGAAUACCGAUGGCGAAGGCAGCCCCCUGGGCCAAUACUGACGCUCAUGCACGAAAGCGUGGGGAGCAAACAGG